rnacentral:RNase_P_RNA from 1 species
CAGGUCAGUCAGGUGCGCGCGCUUAACAGUGAGGAAAGUCCGUACACCGCAGAGCAGGAUGCCAGGUAACCCCUGGAUGGUCGUAAGAUCGUGGAUCGGGCCACAGAGACAUACCGCUCGCAAGUGCAAGGGUGAAAAGGUGGUGUAAGAGACCACCGGCGCUUUGGUAACAAACGCGGCCAGGCAACCCCCAUCCGGUGCAAGGUCAAACAGGAGAAAGAGCCUGCUCGGCUCACUCGAUCUCCGGGUAGACCGCAUGAGCAGGCUGGUGACAGUCUGCCUAGAUAGAUGCGCAUCCAAGACAGAAUACGGCUUACCGGCUGACCUGAGUG